UACGUAGGGUGCGAGCGUUGUCCGGAAUUACUGGGCGUAAAGAGCUCGUAGGUGGUUUGUCGCGUUGUUCGUGAAAACCUGAGGCUUAACCUUGGGCGUGCGGGCGAUACGGGCAGACUGGAGUACUGCAGGGGAGACUGGAAUUCCUGGUGUAGCGGUGGAAUGCGCAGAUAUCAGGAGGAACACCAGUGGCGAAGGCGGCCUUCUGGGCCUGUUCUGACGCUGAGGAGCGAAAGCGUGGGGAGCAAACAGG
rnacentral:rRNA from 1 species